rnacentral:lncRNA from 1 species
UUUUUUUUUUUUUUGUAAAAAUGGGUUAUUAAUGCCCAGUUUAUAGCUCUGUUAAGACUCUACAAAUUUAAACUUUUAUAAGCACAUCUAGUAGUGACUAGGUAAUUUAACAAAUGACUGCUGAAUCUAAACUUACGGUAGGUUUCGAAACAUACUUUGGAUAAACUUAGGGUUUCAGUGGAUUGUGACUCAACAUGAACCAACAGUGCUGACAAUGAGAAAGUUAGUGGAAUCAGGCAAGAUGUAUUAACAGACCUCUUAUUCAUAGAAGACAGACUAUAUGUACUCAAACCACAGAGUAUACUCAGUUCUAUAUGCAAUAUUUUUAAAGCAAUAUUAACAAAAUGUAGCGGAUCCAAAGUGGAAUAUCCAGGAUACUACUGACACUACUCAUCUCAUACUAUGAUCUCAUUCAUACUGAGAACCAGUGGACUUAGGUAUAUUUACCCUACAGAGAAGAUAAAAAAAGCUAUUUUUAGAAAACCUAUCUAGAGCCAUAGGAUGAAAUUAUAUACUGAACAGAGAAUUUAUUAUGAGAAUAAUAAAUUAUGAGAAUUUUUAUUUUUUAUCAAUUAUUAUAUUGCUCUCUUAUGAGAAUUUUAUUUUUUAUCAAUUAUUAUAACUAACAUAAUCUAUAUCAUUAUCUAUUAAUGGUUCUUAUUCUAAUACUCUGAGGAUUAAAAUAAAAUGAAUACAGGCUAAUUAAAAAACUGGCUUGUAGGUGGCUUAGUUGGUUAAGCAGCUGACUCUUGGUUUUGGCUCAGGUCCUGAUCUCGGGGUUGUGAGACAGAGCCCAUGUGGGGCUCUGCGCUCAGCAGGAGUCUGCUUGAUAGGCUCUCCGUCUCUCUUCCCCUCUGCGUGUUCUCUCUCUCUCUCAAAUAAUCUUUAAAAGAAUUGACUUUAGAAAUUUUCAGUAUAUUUUAUUACUAAGCUGUCUUUUUAAGGAUUUGGAGGACAAACUGCAUUUAAGUUCUGACAGUAGGAUAUUAAAUAUGAGGGGCAUAAAGAAAUAACUUGAGACAAUUUAAAUAAAAUGAAACUGAAAAAAAUUUUAAGAAAUUUAUUUACCGGAUAUAACAGGGAGCAUGAAACUAAUAGUCUAGACAAAAAGUGAGGUGUCAUUGCGGACAACUUAAAAUAUUUCUUUUAAAAAAAAAAUUUUUUUUUUUAAUUCAUAGAGAUGUAGAGAGAGAGAGAGAGAGAGAGGCAGAGACACAGGCAAAGGGAGAAGCAGGCUCCAUGCAGAGAGCCCGACGUGGGACUCGAUCCAGGGUCUCCAGAUCAUGCCCCGGGCUACAGGCGGCGCUAAACCGCUGCGCCACUGGGGCUGCCCUAAAAUAUCUAUUUCAAUUCUGCAUUCAAUUUAUUCCUAUUUUACAUGGAAAUCACUUUGAAAAUUCAAAUUUCAGGCAAAAAGGUAGAGGCAAAGGGCAGACUGCAUUGAACAGUCUACGGAAGUUACCUAUUGUAUUUAUGCUUAGACCUUGAAAUUCUUAGCAUAGCCGAAUUUAUUGUAUUUGUAUGUUUAUUUUCUAUUCAAGCAAGGUCUGUGCUAUUAAAUUUUGCCUUGUUUUCAUUUUCCUAAGAAAACAUCAAAGGUAACUUCAUAAAUAAGAAAUUCCCCCCCCAAAAAAAGAAAGAAAGAAAUUCCCUAUUAUUAUUCUUUGAAUCAUCCAUCUUGAACUGAGAUGUUACUCAAGGUGGGAAAAUAAUGAAUCCAACUCCUUUCUAUAAUUUUAGCACUAAAAUUCAAAUUUUAUGGCUACAAUUUGGUUGAGAGCAGAAACACAGCCUUGCAUAGAUAGAAGAUCAGAUUUAAUCAUUUAAAUCAUUCUGUCAAAUACAUAUAUGUCAAACACAUAUAAGAGUUUAAGGACAGGAACAACUGGCAUCUGAUUUUACACUAACUCUCAAAAAGAGCAGUUAUUUGAACAAUGACUGAAAAUGGCUGUGGCAUAUUGUAAAUUUUCUCUAAGUUCAUAAACCACAAAACAUACCCCUUUAAGAGCUUAGGUUUGAUAGAUAUAACAAAAUUAACAUCGGUUGAUCAUAUUAGUAAAGUUUGCAAGCCUUCUUUACCACCAAACGCUGACAGUAACUAGGCACCCUUAUAAAUUUUUCUUUUGAUUGUAAACAUCAUUUACUACUAAUCCAAUUGCCAAAAGAGCAAUUUGUUCUUUUUAUCUCUUUUGGCACAAAUAUUUCUCCCAGAAGCAUUCACAUUAUAAAAUUAUUCAAGAUAAUUAAAAUUUCCUCAUGGGUGCCACACAGACAGCAAUUUACACAAGUAAAUUUCAAUCACGAAUAUGUUAAAAACCGAAUUUUCAGCUAUAUUUAGUGACUCAUACCAAAAGCAUUACAUUUUUCAUUGAAAACACAACAGAUGUUAUGUCAUUUGCCAUUUACCAAUUGCCCUACUGAUUACAACAUUCUUACUUUAUCUGUAGUGCUUUUCAUCAGCCCCACAUUUACGUUACUUUGUAAGAUUUUAUUUAUUUAUUUGAGAUAGAAAGGGGGGAGGGGCGAGAGGGAAAGGAGAAGCAGACUCCCCAUUGAGCAGGGAACCUGAAAGGCAGGGCGAAGUGGGGUGGUGGUGCUUGAUCCAGGGAGUCUGGGAUCAUGAUCCUGGGGUCAUGACCUGAGCUGAAGGCAGACACUUAAUCGACUAAGCUACAGAGGUACCCCUACAUUAUUUAUAAUAUAAGAACUGACAAUAUUUUCUAAUAUGGUAUGAUUACAUGCCAUUGCUAUUCUACUGCUCACUUGAUAACAUUUCUAAAAACUUAUCUAGAUAAUCAGUCUAAUGUGAGAAACAAUUUUUGUCAUUUCUUUUUAUUAGACUGGUUCUUGAUAAUAAGCAAAUAGUAAGUUUUCUGAAUUACAAGGUAACUUGUUUCCAUGAUUUCUGUUUAUAGUACUAACUAUGACAGUACUGAAUGGGGAAUUUUCUGCUUUAUCUUGUUUCUUAUUUGGAAAGUCAGUGUCUCAAAAUUUUUGUUGUAGAUUACAAAAGAAGCAAUGAUCUAAACUGCUGACAGUGUACCUAAAGAUGUUAUUUCAUUUAGUAUCAAAUGAUAUAUCUAGUUAUCUUAACUUUAAAAUAUAUAUAACAGAAAUAUAUAAUUUAAGUGUAUAUUCCGCAAAUUGCAAUGUAAAAAAAACUAAACACAGCUCAAAAAGGAAAAAGUGAGAAAAAAUGGAAAGAAAUAUUAUUUCUGAAUGUUAGGCAACAAAAAUAUAAAAAUGAACUCAAUAUAUAAAAACACUGCCAUUAUUUAAUUCUGACAGCAUCAAAUAUAUGAAACACCAAUAUUCUACAACUUCUGGAAUAUCCACAUUCCACAUGUGGGGAACAGCUUAAAAAAUAUGGCAUUAAAUAAACCUAAGAGAAUGACAGAAGAAGGGAUAUACCCACAUAAUCAUACAGAAUCACUGACUCCUGUCAGUAUUUACCCAUUUUUCUGGGUAUUGUUAAAUCAGCAAAGCAUCAUUUUAAUAGCUAGGAUUAAAGAGAACUGCAGACAUACUACCUAGAACAGACAACAGAAAACAUUCCAGUUAUAAAAUAUAGCAAAUGACCUUUGUUUAAAAGAUGCUGGACAAUAUUCAAGAAAGGCUGUUUGAUUAGAAAUUUCUAAGGGAGAGGAAAUAAGGUUAGAAAUGUGACAUUUUCUAUGCUUAUAAAUCUGUAAGAAGUUAAAUGAUACCUAUUUCUUUCUGAAAAGUCAACUGUCCUCCAGUCUACAGUAGAAGUACAAUACCAAUCAAAAAGAUUUCUUUUUCUAAGAGUUAAACUGAAGUAAAACCGAGCUGGCUUCCAAGGGACCAAUUAAGAAAUUACGCCUGGGCUAUAUAAGAUUCUUUGGGGAUUUGUAAAUAUUUCCAUUCUAGUUUUCCAGAGACAAAAAUAUAAAAAGGAAAAAAUUAGACAAAGAAGUGACCUGUGGUAUUUGGCUACUACUCUUCCAACUGGCUCAUUAAUAAAAGUUUUCAAUAUUAUUUGAUUUCUACCCUAAAAACUACUUACUGAGUUCAAUGACUAAUCUAUUACCAUAAGGUCAGUUCUCAACACAUAUACAUUAUCUACCAGUCACUAAUGCAGUGGUAUUAGUUAAGAGAAAAAUCUAAUACACUAGUUUUCACUGAAACACGGCCAUCCCUCACAUCAAGGACAGAAAACAGAUGCAUCUGAGUUUCUUUUAUUUAGAGAUAUAAAAUUAAGGUCAAGGAAUAGAUGGAAAUGAAUCUUUUUGGUAACUGAUAUUAGGAAAAAUUAGUUAUCUUGUAUAGUUACCACGACCUUGAUUUGAGUUUUUCUAGAGGUAUGACAUUAAUUUCAGCUAACCUGUUAAGAAUUUUUCCCUUAGAGUUUUUAAGUUUCUCAGGACAUCUGGGUGGCUCAGUUGGUUAAGCAUCUGCCUUUGGUUUCAGGUCAUGAUCUCAGAGCCCCUCAUCUGGCUCCUCGCUCAGCGGGGAGUUGGCCUCUCCCUCUGCUCCUCUCCCUGCUCAUGCUUACUCUCUUUUUUUUCUAGAUUUUUAUUUAUUCACAAGAGACACAGAAAGAGGCAGAGACAUAGGCAGAGGGAGAAGCAGGCUCCCUGCAGGUAGCCCGAUGUGGGAUUCGAUCCCAGGACCCUGGGGUCACGACCUGAGCCCAAGGCAGAUGCUCAACCCCUUAGCCACCCAGGUGCCUCCCUCUCUCUCUAAUAAAUAAAUUAGAAAAAUCUUAAAAAGGAAAGAAUUUAUGAGCUUCUCAAAAGUUAAAUAAUUUAGGGUAAAAAGGUUUCUUAUUCUAAGAAAGAGGUGUACAUGUGUAUAUAUCAAAGGAAGGAAAAGUGAUUGCCUUCCUGUUUGUCCUACCUUCUGAAGUUUAAAAGCUAAAUUUUAAGUAUCUCACAAAAAAGUCUGCAGUGUAAUCUAGUGAUGUAAAAAUAAAUAAAUGAAGAAACUAUUUUUCAAGUAGAGAGAAUACCUCCAAUUUAUAAAAUCAUAAAAUAACUGUUAAUAAACCUAACAAUGGUAAUAAAAAAGAUAAUUCUUUAUAAAUUCUUCUGAAAGAAAAGUGUUUAAAAUUGUGAUUCUCAGAUUUAGAGAUGAUAUGGCCUGGCUGCAAAAUAUUUUCCAAAAUCGAAAUUUACCCAAAGCAAUGACAUGAUUCUUGCUCUAAACUGGAUUAAAACAUAUACCAAACUUAAAAGUGUAGGGGUAAAGGGAGGUUAGAAAGUUGUCAGUCUAGGGGCACCCGGGUGGUUCAGUUGGUUAAGUGCUGGACUCUUGAUUUUGGCUCAGAUCAUGAUCCCAAGGUCAUGAGAUCGAGUCUUGGAUUAGGCUGAGUGUGGAGCCUGCUUAAGAUUCUCUCCCCCCAUCCCUGACAUGGGCUUUUUCUUAAAAAAAAAAAAAAAAAAAAAAAAAAA